GCCCUCGGUGGCUCAGAUGGAUAGAGCGUCUGCUGUGUAAGCAGGAGACCCGGGUUCGAGUCCCGGUCGGAGCA
rnacentral:tRNA from 1 species